ensembl:lncRNA
CGGAGGGAGAGGGAGGAUUGAAAUGACGGAUGCUUCUGCUUCAUCAAGGCGCAGCAAGGGAGGCUUUCCACCUAUGUCCCUGUGACUCUUACGGUGGUCUAGAUUCUGCCUGUCAUCGGUGCAGAGUGAGGAGCUUCUCUGCAGAUUCCACCUGUCACGCAAGUUCUAGGAAUUUCGCGCAUCCCACCAAGCUCUCUUCCUUUGAAAUGAUGCCCUACCCCGGCUCCUUAUUAAAUGGGCACAGCAUUAAUUAUGAACAAUGCCCUAGCCAAACCAGGAAUUGUAUGGAAUUUCAUACUUAUGGACUACAGGGUGACAUUUCAAUACAUGUCUAAAAUGUAUAAUGAUCAGAUCAAGACUUCUGAAAGCACCUGCACCUUUAUCUGCUAAAGGCUGGGGGAUCCAGAAGGCAACACCCCUCCAAAGGGGUUCCUGGAGUAUGAGUGAGAGCUGCUGGAUCUCAGCCCCUUGCUGCUGCUUCUCUUUCAGCCCUGAAGGGCAAUUAAAGCCAGAUUGCCUCAGACCUGAACUGAUGAUCACAGCCAUCACCAGCCACGACUGGCUGCUCAACCCUGGAAAUGUAGCUAGCCUGAAUUAUAACAUGC